AAAAAAUCCCUUUUUAACAAAACAAAAGGACUUGUACCAGAUUGCAAUGAACAAGACACAUCUAAAAGGAAAUUCAAGAUCAAGUACUCAUUUUAUCUCUGCCAACAAAACAGUUCAACCAUCUUUUUUUCCAAUUUGAAAGCCACAUUUGUGGCAACUAACAUCUUUUUUUCCAAUUUGAAAGCCACAUUUGUGGCAACUAACAAGCUCGAAGGCGGCUAUUGUUAGGCACAGUUAGCAGUUACAGGAAAAAACCGUAACCUUCAACGACUCCCUCACCGUUCUACAACUACGAGUUUUCAUCAGACAU
rnacentral:lncRNA from 1 species